rnacentral:rRNA from 1 species
CCCUNNUGCGCGACUUCCGCGUGAGCGAUGAAGCCCUUCGGGGUGUAAAGCUCUUUCGGCAGGGAAGAUGAUGACGGUACCUGCAGAAGCAGCUGCGGCUAACUACGUGCCAGCAGCCGCGGUAAUACGUAGGCAGCAAGCGUUGUUCGGAGUUACUGGGCGUAAAGGGUGUGUAGGCGGUUCUUUAAGUUUGGUGUGAAAUCUCCCGGCUCAACCGGGAGGGUGCGCCGAAUACUGAGGGACUAGAGUGCGGGAGAGGAAAGUGGAAUUCCUGGUGUAGCGGUGAAAUGCGUAGAUAUCAGGAGGAACACCGGUGGUGUAGACGGCUUUCUGGACCGUAACUGACGCUGAGACACGAAAGCGUGGGUAGCAAACAGGAUUAGAUACCCUGGUAGUCCACGCCCUAAACGAUGCAUAUUUGGUGUGGGUCAUUCAGUUGAUCCGUGCCGGAGCUAACGCGUUAAAUAUGCCGCCUGGGGAGUACAGUCGCAAGGCUGAAACUCAAAAGAAUUGACGGA